rnacentral:rRNA from 1 species
UACGGAGGAUCCAAGCGUUAUCCGGAUUUAUUGGGUUUAAAGGGUGCGUAGGCGGAUCUUUAAGUCAGUGGUGAAAGUUUGCGGCUCAACCGUAAAAUUGCCGUUGAAACUGAAGAUCUUGAGUGUAAAUGAGGUAGGCGGAAUGUGUUGUGUAGCGGUGAAAUGCUUAGAUAUAACACAGAACACCAAUUGCGAAGGCAGCUUACUGGGAUACAACUGACGCUGAGGCACGAAAGCGUGGGGAUCAAACAGGAUUAGAUACCCUGGUAGUCCACGCAGUAAACGAUGAAUACUAACUGUAUGCGAUAUACUGUAUGCGGUACAGCGAAAGCGUUAAGUAUUCCGCCUGGGGAGUACGUUCGCAAGAAUGAA